rnacentral:Y_RNA from 1 species
GGCUGGUCCGAUGGUAGUAGGUUAUCAUAACUUAUUAACAUUAGUGUCACUAAAGUGGUAUACAAUCCUCUACUGAUAAAUUUGACUGGCUUUAA